AGUAGAUCAUAUCAAUGAUGGGAUGAUGGCCUUGUUUGAGGUCAUUAAAAGCUCGUUGACAGCAUCCCCGAGUGAGACCAUUUCCUAACAAUAAAUUUCUUUCCUGUUUUCUAGUGAUUGAAAGCCUUUUCCGCUAAGCUCAUUUUCUCACAGGCUUUGUUUAUAAAUAUAAGACAAUUACCAGCUGAAACAUCGCCUCAAUUGGUUUGAAGUUUGAUCUCAGGAGGGUUAGAUAUAAAAUCGAAUAUUUACUUGAAGAGUUUUGUACAAAACAACAACAAGUAUCAGGAGCAGAAAUUACCAGCGAUAAUGAAAACAGUCAGCAAAAUCUUGUUCAAAAUAAUUAUUGGAAGGCCUUCAAAGGUGACGAAGGUUUUCGUAUUGUUGUGUCUGUUGAAUAUAGUCUUUGAAUGCAGUGGCAAAAGUUUUCCAAGGCACCAAUAUACUCAUACAAACACAUGUCGUCAUAUAACACCGGAGCCUAGAAUCUACUUGAACAUCAUGUUCGACACGACUGAUUUCUUUUUCCCCCAGUUUUACACGGAACGUAAAUGUGUGAGUGGAAAUAAUGACAAAAAUCAACCGGGAACAGCAUGGGCAACUUGCUUAAACGGACAUUAUCAUUGUGUGACAAGAUAUAGAAGGAUGAAAUUUCUGAGAAUAACGCAUCCGAAGAACACUACUUUGGAAAACGCUAGAAGUGAAGAGGUAUAUGUUCCCGUAGCGUGCGAGUGUUCGAGUUAUAUUAUUUCUUGACAGUGAAGCACAUAGUUUGAUCAGCAGGGAAAUAAUUUAAUAUUGCAUGCAGAGUGAUGCAAUUUUGGCAUUUAAAACGCUUUCUGUGUACGUACUACACAAGAAAAUCGAGGAACGAUACAGAUGUGAGCGCCUUUAAGGCAACUCUGACAUUAAGACGUGGUAGAAAAUUUUUACAUAACUUAGAGCGUUUUGUAUUUUAUAUUGCAAAUGAUGAUAGAGCGUAAAUGAUGAUGAGUUCCUUUGCCAACAUCUGUUUGCAAUACUCAAACAAUAUUUAUUGUUAUUAAAACAUGCAUGUUUCACGUGUAUUUAAGUUUCUAGACAAGCGUAAAUAAGUAAAGAGAUUUAUGAUAUUAAAAUGUCGACUGUAAUUUAGAUGGUUCAUUAAAUUAAGACUAGACAAAUCACGAUUUGUGUCAGUGUAAUAGUUCUGGAAACAUCCAUUCAAAAUAAAACUUCCUGAGUAUGUCAACCAACAGACUAAUAGCAUCAAAAAAAUCAAUCUUUACUGAUGGCGAAUAAUCUCUUCACGUAGAACACAUCAACUGAUUGGUUGAUCAUCGUCAGGAACAUUAAAUAAUUCUCAGCAUGAUGUCAUUACGUCGAAUCGGCCUCAAAUUUAAAGAGCCCCCUUGUAGGCUAUAAUCUACAUUACUUAAUGUAUUUAACAGUAAGAGGCUCAUUAGUUCCUUCCGUAAGAAAACUUCAACAUUUGUUCAAUUAGCUACAAUUUAAAGCAGAUGAAUAAAGGCAGUAAAGAAACAGUUUAGUUAUGUGUAAUAGAUAAAAUGAAUUCAUCAUACACAAGUCUCAAGGUUAGUAUGUAUGUACAUGGAUAUUAUAUGAUACACUUUAAUCUUUUCAAUAAAUUUUACCAUGGAAAUGACGCUUCCAGCUCGCUCGCAACCUGUAUUAGCUGGUUGUAAACUUUUAGCGAUGUGUGAAAUAAAUAUUUAACGAAAUGAAUCUUUAGAUAAUAACUUCAGAAAACAACAAGUAUGUAUCAACAAUUGGGAUAUCAAAGAAAACAAGUAGAAAAAAAUUGAAGAUUUUUUUGUGCGUUGCAAUCGUGAUCCUUUUAUUCACCUACAUCAAAUUCAAAUCGAUGAAAGAAACCGAUGAUGUUAAAACAAAGGGCGCUUUACAUCAUAAAAAUAUAUGUCGUCACGUGACACCCGAGCCUGAGAUUCUGCUCCAAGAAAAGUUCGACAGUAACGACAAUUUUUUCCCGUAUUCAUAUAAGGAGAGAGUGUGCAACAUCAAAUAGUUCGGUACCGGACAAAAAUGACGAGUUACAGGGGCUACAGAAAUGCUUUGAAAGUCAAAAGCUAGGUGUCUAUCACUGUACAACACGAUACAAAGCCAUAAAUAUGUUCGCAAACAAUUCAUGUUCCGGUAGCGUGUGAAGACCAAAACAGAACUUGUCGGAAUGUUAUAAGACUAGUGACCAAAAUAGAACUUGUCGGAAUGUUAUAAGACUAACCGCUGACCAUAAAUAUGUUAAUAUAUGUCGGAAUGUUAUAAGACUAACCGCUGACCAUAAAUAUGUUCAUAUA